AACGAACGCUGGCGGCAUGCCUAACACAUGCAAGUCGAACGAGAACUUCGGGUCUAGUGGCGCUCGGGUGCGUAACGAGGGGGAACUUGCCCUUAGGUUCGGAAUAACUCAGAGAAAUUUGAGCUAAUACCGGAUGAUGUCUUCGGACCAAAGAUGUAUUGCCUUUGGAUGGGCGCGGGUUGGUUUCGUUAGUUGGUGGGGUAAAGGCCUACCAAGGCGAGGGUCCAUGGCUGGUCGGUUAGGAUGCUCAGCCACACUGGGGCUGAGGCACGGCCCAGACUCGUACGGAGGGGAGCAGUAGAGUGUAUUGGGCAAUGGAGGAUAAUCUAGUAAAGCAGUGCCGGGUAAGAGGUGAAGGGGUUAGUGUAGUGAAUCCCUUUUACCCGAGGUGUUAGUGACGGUAACGGGUAAAUAAGCACCGGCUAACUCCGUG
rnacentral:rRNA from 1 species